UACGUAGGGUGCAAGCGUUGUCCGGAAUUAUUGGGCGUAAAGAGCUCGUAGGCGGUUUGUUGCGUCUGCUGUGAAAACUCGGGGCUUAACCCCGGGCCUGCAGCCGAUACGGGCAGGCUAGAGUUCGGUAGGGGAGACUGGAAUUCCUGGUGUAGCGGUGAAAUGCGCAGAUAUCAGGAGGAACACCGGUGGCGAAGGCGGGUCUCUGGGCCGAUACUGACGCUGAGGAGCGAAAGCGUGGGGAGCGAACAGG
rnacentral:rRNA from 1 species